rnacentral:rRNA from 1 species
ACAUGCAAGUCGAGGGGUAACAUGGGGUAGCAAUACUCUGAUGACGACCGGCAAACGGGUGCGGAACACGUACGCAACUUUCCCAAAACUGGUGAAUAGCCCUCCGAAAGGAGGAUUAAUACACCGUAACAUAUAGAGGUGGCAUCGCCUUUAUAUUAUAGCUCCGGCGGUUUUGGAUGGGCGUGCGCCUGAUUAGGUAGUUGGUGUGGUAACGGCUCACCAAGCCUACGAUCAGUAACUGGUGUGAGAGCACGACCAGUCACACGGGCACUGAGACACGGGCCCGACUCCUACGGGAGGCAGCAGUAAGGAAUAUUGGUCAAUGGACGAAAGUCUGAACCAGCCAUGCCGCGUGAAGGAUGAAGGCCCUCUGGGUUGUAAACUUCUUUUAUAGGGGACGAAAAAAGGGAAUUCCUUCCCACUUGACGGUACCCUAGGAAUAAGCACCGGCUAACUCCGUGCCAGCAGCCGCGGUAAUACGGAGGGUGCAAGCGUUAUCCGGAUUCACUGGGUUUAAAGGGUGCGUAGGUGGGCAGUUAAGUCAGUGGUGAAAUCUCCGGGCUUAACCCGGAAACUGCCAUUGAUACUAUCUGUCUUGAAUAUCCUGGAGGUGAGCGGAAUAUGUCAUGUAGCGGUGAAAUGCUUAGAUAUGACAUAGAACACCGAUUGCGAAGGCAGCUCGCUACGGGAUUAUUGACAC